rnacentral:ncRNA from 14 species
CGUGGCCCAUUGGUUAAGGCGACAGAUUCGAAAUCUGUUGUAGUUACUCAGCGUACCGGUAGGCUCGAGUCCUGUCGGU